CGAAGUCUGGUGCCAGCAGCCGCGGUAAUUCCAGCUCCAAUAGCGUAUAUUAAAGUUGUUGCAGUUAAAAGCUCGUAGUUGAAUUUCGGGAUCAGUACGUUGGUCGUGCCUUAGGUACGUACUGGUGUUACUGGUUCCUACCUUCUGACGAACCAUCAUGUCAUUAAUUUGGUGUGGCGGGGAAUCAGGACUGUUACUUUGAAAAAUUAGAGUGUUUAAAGCAGGCUCGCGCUUGAAUACAUUAGCAUGGAAUAAUGAAAUAGGACGUUGAUCCUAAUUUUGUUGGUUUCUAGGAUUGACGUAAUGAUUAAUAGGGAUAGUUGGGGGCAUUAGUAUUUAAUUGUCAGAGGUGAAAUUCUUGGAUUUAUUGAAGACUAACUACUGCGAAAGCAUUUGCCAAGGAUGUUUUCAUUAAUCAAGAACGAAAGUUAGGGGAUCGAAGACGAUCAGAUACCGUCGUAGUCUUAACCAUAAACUAUGCCGACUAGGGAUCGGAUGAUGUUAUUUUUAAUGACUCAUUCGGCGCCUUACG
rnacentral:rRNA from 1 species